UACGGAGGUCCCGAGCGUUGUCCGGAUUUAUUGGGCGUAAAGCGAGCGCAGGUGGUUUAUUAAGUCUGGUGUAAAAGGCAGUGGCUCAACCAUUGUAUGCAUUGGAAACUAGUAGACUUGAGUGCAGGAGAGGAGAGUGGAAUUCCAUGUGUAGCGGUGAAAUGCGUAGAUAUAUGGAGGUACACCGGUGGCGAAAGCGGCUCUCUGGCCUGUAACUGACACUGAGGCUCGAAAGCGUGGGGAGCAAACAGG
rnacentral:rRNA from 1 species